rnacentral:rRNA from 1 species
AUUGAACGCUGGCGGCAUGCUUUACACAUGCAAGUCGAACGGUAACAGGUUAAGCUGACGAGUGGCGAACGGGUGAGUAAUGCAUCGGAACGUGCCCGGUCGUGGGGGAUAACGCAGCGAAAGCUGCGCUAAUACCGCAUACGAUCUGAGGAUGAAAGCGGGGGACCGUAAGGCCUCGCGCGAUCGGAGCGGCCGAUGUCAGAUUAGGUAAUUGGUGGGGUAAAGGCUCACCAAGCCAACGAUCUGUAGCUGGUCUGAGAGGACGACCAGCCACACUGGGACUGAGACACGGCCCAGACUCCUACGGGAGGCAGCAGUGGGGAAUUUUGGACAGUGGGCGAAAGCCUGAUCCAGCAAUGCCGCGUGCAGGAAGAAGGCCUUCGGGUUGUAAACUGCUUUUGUACGGAGCGAAAAGGUCUCCUCUAAUACAGGGGGCUCAUGACGGUACCGUAAGAAUAAGCACCGGCUAACUACGUGCCAGCAGCCGCAGUAAAAC